rnacentral:rRNA from 2 species
UGGGGAAUAUUGGGCAAUGGGCGAAAGCCUGACCCAGCAACGCCACGUGAAGGAAGAAGGCCUUCGGGUUGUAAACUUCUUUGACCAGGGACGAAGAAUGUGACGGUACCUGGAAAACAAGCCACGGCUAACUACGUGCCAGCAGCCGCGGUAAUACGUAGGUGGCAAGCGUUGUCCGGAUUUACUGGGUGUAAAGGGCGCGUAGGCGGGAAUGCAAGUCAGAUGUGAAAUGCAUGGGCUUAACCCAUGAACUGCAUUUGAAACUGUAUUUCUUGAGUAUCGGAGAGGCAGGCGGAAUUCCUAGUGUAGCGGUGAAAUGCGUAGAUAUUAGGAGGAACACCAGUGGCGAAGGCGGCCUGCUGGACGACAACUGACGCUGAGGCGCGAAAGCGUGGGGAGCAAACAGG